UCCUGGCUCAGGAUGAACGCUGGCUGUGUGCCUAAUACAUGCAUGUCGAGCGGAGUAUUAAUUUAUUAGUGCUUAGCGGCAAAUGGGUGAGUAACACGUAUUUAACCUACCUCAAAGACUGGGAUAACAACAGGAAACUGUUGCUAAUACCGGAUAUGUAUUUAGAUCGCAUGAUUUAGAUAUCAAAGGAGCGUUUGCUUCACUUUGAAAUGGGAGUGCGUUACAUUAGCUAGUUGGUAGGGUAAUGGCCUACCAAGGCGAUGAUGUAUAGCUGAGUUGAGAGACUGAACAGCCACACUGGGACUGAGAUACGGCCCAGACUCCUACGGGAGGCAGCAGUAGGGAAUUUUCCACAAUGGACGAAAGUCUGAUGGAGUGACACAGCGUGCAGGAUGAAGGUCUUCGGAUUGUAAACUGCUGUUAUAAGGGAAGAAAAGCUUAGGGAGGAAAUGCCCUAAGUAUGACGGUACCUUGUCAGAAAGCACCGGCUAACUAUGUGCCAGCAGCUGCGGUAAUACAUAGGGUGCAAGCGUUAUCCGAAAUUAUUGGGUGUAAAGAGUUCGUAGGUUGUUUGUUAAGUCAGAAGUUAAAUCCCGGGGCUCAACCCUGGCCCGCUUUUGAUACUAGCAAACUAGAGUUAUAAAGAGGUUAGUGGAAUUCCUAGUGAAGCGGUGAAAUGUGUAGAUAUUAGGAAGAACAUCAAUGGCGAAGGCAGCUAACUGGUUAUGUACUGACACUGAGGAACGAAAGCGUGGGGAGCAAACAGGAUUAGAUACCCUGGUAGUCCACGCCGUAAACGAUGAUCAUUAGCUGGUGGAAUUUUUCACUAGCGCAGCUAACGCAUUAAAUGAUCCACCUGAGUAGUAUGCUCGCAAGAGUGAAACUUAAAGGAAUUGACGGGGACCCGCACAAGCGGUGGAGCAUGUGG
rnacentral:rRNA from 1 species